rnacentral:lncRNA from 1 species
UCAGAAAACCUUGACCAUCUUUGAUCAACGAGCUAGUCAACUAGAGUCUUACUAGGGACAGUGUUUUGUCUAUGUAUCCACACAUGUAUUUGUAUUUCCAAUCAAUACAAUUAUAGCCUGGAUAAUAAACGAUUAUCAUGAACGAAGAAAUAUAAUAAUAACUAAUUUAUUAUUGCCUCUAGGGAAUAUUUCCAACAUAGGUUUUCCCUUGAUAGGUUUUCUGUUUUAGGAUAGAUUGACAUACUGUCAAGGGGGGCUCUCAAGUGAGUAGCUCGAUUGUAUCGUUCGUUGAGAGCCCAAACCAUUUGCAUCCUUGCAUCAUACUUCUUGGUUCUUGUUUGGUGUUUCUCUUUGUGAGUUUUAGAGCUUAUGGUCAUCUUCAUGACAAGCUCGAGUUCAUAAAAAAUGAAGUCCAUAUGCAUCUACUAUAUAGCUGUUUGGAUAGCUCUUGUCGUCGUGAAUCCAACAAGCUUGGGUUUGCUCGAUUCAGAGCUCGUAUGCGAAAGUUAUGGCUGUUUCAGUGGCGAGCGGUAGUACCGCUUGUGCCAAGCGGUAGUACCGCUCCCUAGCGGUAGUACCGCUCCGGGUGGGCGGUAGUACCGCUGCCUAGCGGUAGCACCGCUCCAGGUGGGCGGUAGUACCGCUUCGGGAUGGUAGUACCUCUCUCUGAGCGGUUGUACUUUGUCGGACUUUUUGCGAAUACUUUUCCAAGCGGCGGUAGGCCCGAGAGUAAUAUCUUUACUACCGUGGCCUAGCGGUAGUACCGCUCCUCACCAGUGGUAGUACCGCUAGGGGCAGCGGUAGUACCACUAGAGGCAGUGGUAGUAGCGCACCUCGCCAGCGGUAGUACCGCUAGAGGCAACGGUAGUACUGCGCCUCACCGGCGGUAGUAACGCUGUGCGCGGGCUGUAAGUGGGGGUAACGGUCUGAUUCCUUCCCCCACUAUAUAAAGGGGGUCUUCUUCCCCGAUGGUCUUUUCUAUCUCUUGAGAUCAUGUUCUUCCCCCAUUGUUGACCUUCUUCGAGCUUGCUAACUCUCAAUCCCUCCAAUGAUUCUUGCUAGUUCUUGAGGGAAAAGAGAGAGGAGAUCUAGAUCCACAUCUCCACCAAUCACUUUCUCCUCUAUGUGAAGGGAACCCCUUGGAUUUGGAUCUUGGAGUUCUUUGUGAGCUCCUUGUUCUUCCUCUCAUAUUUCUCCAUAGCUUUUGUUGUUGUGGAGGGAUUUAAGUGUGAGGGACUUGGCCACUUCGUGUGUUCUUACCAUUGCAUUAGUUGCAUCGGUUUGAGUUUUCCACGGUGAUACGUGGAAGUGAAGUUUGAGAAUCUUAUCACCUUUUGGUACUUGGUACCCUAGAGAUUUUUCUUCGGGGCUGCUUUGGCGUCCUAGAAGCUUGGUGGUGCCUUGGAGCUCAAUCAUUGUGGUGUAAAGCUCAGAGCAAGCGUCAGGGUCUCCAAUUAGGUUGUGGAGAUUGCCCCGAGCAAUUUGUACGGGUACCGGUGACCGCCCCCAAGGGUUGCCAUUUGUACGGGUUAGGUGACCACCCUCAAGGGUCCCUUAGUGGAAUCACGACAUCUUGCAUUGUGCAAGGGCGUGAGGAGAUUACGGUGGCCUUAGUGGCAUCUUGGGGAGCAUUGCGCCUCCACACCGCUCCAACGGAGAUUAGCAUCCGCAAGGGUGUGAACUUCGGGAUACAUCAUCAUCUCCGCAUGCCUCGGUUAUCUCUUACCCGAACCCUUUACUUAUGCACUUUACUUUGUGAUAGCCAUAUUGUUUCUUGUCAUAUAUCUUGCUAUCACUUAGUUGUUUAUCUUGCUUAGCAUAAGUUGUUGGUGCACAUAGUUGAGCCUAGUUGUUUUAGAUUUUGUGCUUGACAAAUUAAACGUUAGUUUUAUUCCGCAUUUGUUCAAGCCUAAACCGUAAUUAUUUUAAAGCGCCUAUUCACCAUCCCUCUAGGCGACAUCCACGUCCUUUCAGGCACUGGAUGCACUUACAGAAUCAUCAUAAUUUACUUACCUUGUGAGCCAAUUCCAGUUUGAUUUACUUACCAAACUUCUUAUCAAAAUAAAAUGUAAAUCAUGAACAUAAUUUAAUAAAUAUAUAUCUACACAAUCACAUUACAAACAUAUAAAUCACAAGCUACCAUAUUAAAUAUGGAAAAAGCUUGUAAUCACACGACGGAUUGCAACUCCCGCAUCCGCCACCUUCCCCCAGACACCACGUGCCCCACGAACCACUACUACUAUAUUUUUAACUCGCCUGUUGUUGCAUUCUUACCAUCGCAGCAACUGGUAUAUUGCAGACCGAGGAAGACGAAGACGAGACGAUGAUAUCCAGAUCCCUGCAGCGCCGAACGAGAGAUGCACGUCACGUGACGCUUCAAUGUUGGUGCCGACAACAACUGCCCACCUCGUUGGAUAGGAGGAUGGGGCGACGAGGUUGCAACCGAGGUCGGGCGCACAGGUUGUCAUUGCCGCAUGCCUCCACCACAGCUGUUGGCCAAGCACGGUGCGUCAACCUCGCCGGAGAGAAGGGUGCGAUGAGCGACAUGGCGAGAGAUUUCGACGCUCGCCGAUGGGCAGCGUUGCUAGUCCCUCACCGGAGACCUUUUUUUUGCAACAUCCUCCGUGUUGCAUGAAAGAUUCUGCAACAUCACUAAUGUUGCAAAACUUUCUUACGUCGAUAACUUUGUUGCAAAGAAAUCAACAACAAUAAUAGCUAGAUAACAAUACCUCUGUUACAAAAAAUCUGCAACACAUUCUCUGUUGCAAUUUUUUUACAAGACACCCUCUGCUGCAAAAAAAAUCUGUAAUACAAUCUCUGUUAUAAAUGUUUCUACAAUAAGGUCUUUGUUGCAAAGUAGAAAAAAGACGUUCAUCCCGAUAGAUCCGACGACUCGACGAGACGGUGGAUCUUUUAAAAAGAUCUGCCGACCGAUGCGUAGGAUCCCCAUUAAAAUAUUCAUAUCCCAUUGCAACGCACAUGCAUUGUCCUAGGUUUUUUAUGGACAGGCUUUGUCCUAGUCUUUUUUGAACAUCAAUAACUUAAUUCUUUAAAUAAUAGCUAGGUAUGGCAAUGGGUCGGGUUUGGAGCGGGUGGAGCUGGUCCAAAUCCAACCCAUGACCCAUAUUCGUACCCUCUAUCCAUCCACCAAAGUAUCCAUGGACACAAAAUGUGCCCAUGCCCAAACACAUCCAGAUAUCCAUGGAGCUCCAUGGGCAUAGAAAAAUCAACAUGAAGCCUUCCCAAAGAUCAAACUAACUCUUCAUCGUUUGUUAACAAAGAUUAGGUUUAAUAAUUAUGUUAGUGCAGUUGUGGGGGAUUAGGGAAGAUGGGUCAGACUUUGACCUUCUCUGACCACGAGUGACUUGGGGUUGGACAUUUUCUUAGUUUAGUGUCCCUACCAUAGGGGCCCAUGUGUCAUAUGGGUAUCCAUGGAGCAAAAAUUAAAACUGUGCCCAACCCAACUGUUCGUGGGUAUCCAUAUCCACGGAACCAUGGGCAGAAAUGCGCUCCAUACCCUUGCCCAACUGGGUCGGGUAUCCACGGGUAUCCAGAUCCAUGGAUAAAAUUGCCAUCCCUAAUAAUAGCCAUAUCAUUUAAGUUUGCGGAAGAAGAUAGUCUCGGGGUGAAGCGUCCCAAAACUGAAAAUAGUUAGAGUUAUAACAGUGUUUUGCCAAACAAUCAGCGACGAGAUUAGCUUCCCUAGUUAACACCAUAUAUGUGGAGAUAUCAAGAAAAAAGCACUCGGGGUGAAGUGUCCCAAAACUCAAAAGAGUUAAAGUUAUAGCAGUGUUUUGCCAAACAACCAGAAACGAAAUUAGCUUCCCUAUUAACAACAUAUAUAUGGAGAUAUAGAAAAAACACUGAGGGUGAAGCGUCCCAACACUCAAAAGAGUUAGAGUUAUAGCAGUGUUUUGCCAAACAAUCAGUGACAAGAUUAGCUUCCCUAGUUAACACCAUAUAUCUGGAGAUAUCAAGAAAAAAACACUAGUGGUGAAGCGUCCCAAAACUCAAAAGAAUUAGAGUUAUAACAGUGUUUUGCCAAAGGAAAACACUUUGGAUCAACCGACUGAUUUUACUCAAAAAUCAGCCGGGUCGCUGGCUCCUCACGUGUCCCUCUCAGCCACAUCUUUUCUUCCCACCUUAUCCCUUCCAGUGCUCUCUCCUUCACUCAUUCUCCUCCUCAUCUUAUUCCUCUUUUCCUUCCGUAGCAAUGAUGCUGAGAUGAAGCACGACGAGGGGCAGCCGGGGCUGGGAUGGAGCAGCACCAAUGCACGGGGGUGGCGUUGUAGUGAAGCUCCGUCGACGGCGCCGACGAGAUGUUGAGAUGGAGCCCGUAGUGCUGGUGUCGCGCUCCAAUGAAGCAUUGCCGGAGCUGUGAUCGGUCGUCGGUGCUGCAUUGGAGCAUCGCCACGCCAGUGUGGCGCUGCAAUGAAGCUUCAUCGGCGGCUGCAAUGGAGCUUCAUCGACGGCGCCAAGAGUUGCGACGCUGCGCCCUGAGCUGCAAUGGAGCUUUACCUACGGAGACGAGAGCUGCAAUGCAGCGCCCAAAGCUGCAAUGAAGCUUCACCGGCGGCACCAAGAUCUGCGAUGCAGCACCCGCGCUGCAAUGAAGCUCCACUCGCGCUGCAAUGAAGCUUCAUCACGACGAGCGAUCGUUGCUUGCGUUGACUAGAUCCAAAGUCCUUGUAGAACGCAUCUAAUGGCUGGGGACCCGAGUGAUUUCUUGGGAAAUCAGUCGGUUGAUCCGUAGCAGCCGCCUUUGCCAAACAAUCAGCGACGAGAUUAGCUUCCCUAUUAACACCAUAUACGUGGAGAUAUAAAAAAACAAAGGGUGUAGCGUCCCAAAAACUCAAAAGAGUCAGAGUUAUAGGAGUGUUUUGUCAAACAAUCAACGACGAGAUUAGCUUCCCUAAUUAACACCAUACAUAUAUGCGGAGAUAUAUAAAGAAAAAGGAAAACACUUAAAAACAACCGGCUGAUUUUUCACUCGCGUAAGCCGCGGCCGACGCCCGCCACGCGUCCCUGUUUGCUCGCUCAUCCUUUCCCUUAUCUCUUCCCCCACAAACUGGACCGCUCGUUCUUUUUCCUUCCUUUCUUCUUCCUUGAGCACACCGCACCACACACAAGUGCCAGUGCCUGCCAUCGUAGACCAUAGCCGCCGUUGCUGCUGCAAGCGGGCUUCACAAAGGACGGUGCUUUGAUGCAAUUCCAGUUGUCGGUCACCUCAUGCUGCUAUAGGCUAGGUUGGGAGGACGGUGCUGUCAUGGCCGACGGCGGAGCUGCGUUGCAGCAGGCGAUGCGCGGCGAGGUUGUUGCCAUAUUGAUGGCGGAGCUGCGUUGGAGGAGGAGGGGAUACGAGCAACUGCCAUGGCCCUCGACAGAGCUACGGGCAAUGCUGCAACGAAGCUUCGCGGGGGCAUCAAUGAAGCUUUGCCGAAGCUGCAACGAAGCUUCGUCGGGGCGUCAAUGAAGCUUCGCGGUGCUGCACUGAAGCUUCGUCGGGGCGUCAAUGAAGUUUCGCCGGUGCUGCACUGAAGCUUCGCGUGUGGCGUCGGUGCUCCAUUGCAGCUUCGUCUCGGUGCUGGGGUUGUUAUGAAGCUUUUGUCGAUGCUUGAUGUUGCCAUGGACAGCACCUGCAGCUUCGGAUGCAGCGCCAGAUCGUACGUCCCCUAGCGCCAAAUCUAACGGCUGGCUAGGCGGAUGAUUUCCUGGCCUGAUCCGUAGCAGCCCCCAAAGAAAAAACACCAUAUAUGUGGAACGGUGGUCAAUAAAAUAACCUAGAUUUACAACACAUCUGAACCGUCCGAUCCAGAUACUGAGGCACCUAUAGUAGUACUACUCAACCCCUCGUAUAGGAACCGGCAAAAUGAGUUCAGACCCCGUCAAAUUCCGUUCCCCUCUCACCCCGACCUGACCCACCGACCCCUCGCCGGCCCACCGCCACAGGUCGCCGCAAUGGCGUACAACUCUUCGCGCGCGCGCCUCUCGCCGCCAGCUCCCGCGGCCCCUCGCCCCAGGAAGCGCGGACGUUCUCCCUCAGCUCCCGGCGCGGCGGUGUGGCGCGCGUCCGCUGCAUACGUCGCUCCUUUCGACCACCGCCGCCGCUGGCAGAACCCUGCAGGCGCGUCUGGCCGCGUCUGGCAGGGGUACCGCGCGCCACAUACCCCGGUGCCCUCCCGGCAGUGGGUCUUCGCGGACGAGGCAUCCACCUCGGGAUCAGGUAUCCUGUUAGCUGCAUAGCUGUCGUUGUCGAGGAGAUUGGUUACCUUUGCUCACCACUUGUUUGUGUAUAGGUCUGGUAAAAAUUGGCCUUUGCAUUGGCUAUUUUACUAGUAAUACUGCACUACUGCUACCGGGAAAUAGUAAGGAGCUAGUUCAACCAAUUAGGUAGUGGAAGUUAUUUUCCAAAAGAAAAAAGUUCAGUGAAAGUCAAAAUCUUCUACCCAGCUAGUGCAAUCUCCCACAAAGUCAUGAUCUUCGUGUGUACUUCCCUUACAAAGUUGGAUCAGUUUGGCUUGUUGGCUUGGAAGUGUGUUGCUUAUCACAAAUUUGUAUCAGAUUGGGUGGAAUUGUGUUGCUGAGAUGGAGGCAUUCGUGCCUGUACUUAUGCUUUCUUUUGUUAGAUGCAUGCACAAUCAUGUCAUACAACAUCUUGGCGGAUAACAAUGCACGGAACCAUCCUGACCUUUACUUGGACGUCCCUUGGGAUGCUUUGAGAUGGGAUUCGAGGAGAAGGCUUAUUAUCCAUGAAAUUAGGCACUGGGACUCUGACUUAGUGUGUCUUCAGGCAAGAACUCAACCUGCAUAUUGGCGAUGUCAUCCUUCCACUGUACUCUGUAACACUUUAUGUUUGGAAAAUAGGAGGUGGAUAGAUUCCGGGAAAUUGCUGCAGAAAUGAAGAACAAAGGCUAUGAAUGUAGCUUUAAGGUAUAGCACUAUAACAUUUCUCUUUGAAAUUUCUGCCUUUCAAAUCUUAAGCUGAGUCCCGUGCCAUCCUCAGGGGCGCACUGGGGAUGCUAAAGAUGGAUGUGCUACCUUUUGGAAGUCAGAACGGUAUGACUAAUGCUACCCCUUCUCCGCUUGUUAUCUUUAUUGGUUGGAACAAAGCAGCAAUUUUAUCCUUUCUGUUUGUUUGAACUGUAGGUUACGUCUGCUUGAGGAAGAUAGUAUUGACUUUAGUGAAUUCAAUCUACGAAAUAAUGUUGCUCAAGUAUUAGUUUUUGAGGUACUUGGAUUUACAUCAAAGCACUAGUUGGUUCAGUUCAUUAACUAAAGUAAGGAGUAAUUUCUCAUCCAUCCUGGUAAGAGUUAGCAGAUAAUCGCUUGGCUUCUUCUGCUAUUAAUGCUUUCCCUAUUUGAUAUGGGCCUGAGACCCAAAUAAUGGGUAGAACUAGCAGGAAAUAGAGAAGGAGGGGAUAUCUUUUUUUCUGUGAUAGUUCCAUCUUUUCUCUGUGAGUCGAAUAGCUCUAUCUGGAAACAUGCACCAUGUAUUAUUAUAAUUUUAGCACUGUCUUGUGACUCCCUUUACAUUGUGUAAAUGAACCAAAUGAUGUACUACAAUCGUGCAUUUUCUGAAUAGCCUCCCAGCUACCAUCUUUUGUAUAUUUUUUCUUCUUAUUCAGGUCUCUGCUAAGUAACCAAUGUUUUACUGUUGGAAGAAAAUGGUUAUAUUUAUUUUUCUUCUGACAUGUUUCCUUUUCAGCUUAACGGAACCCAAAAAUUUGUACUCGGGAAUAUCCAUGUUUUGUUUAAUCCAAAGCGUGGAGAUGUAAAAAUGGGACAGGUAUGUCAGUUCAGAUAAAAUCAGCAUCAUUUGUUUCAUGCAUAUCUAAUAUCAUUGUGUAGUCGUGUCUCAAGAUGGUCUGCAUAAUCCUCAUUAGCUGAUAGGAAUGUAAUGCACAGUUUGAAAUGACUGUUGGCCACUUCAAAUUUGACAGAUAUCUAUUUACUCCUUCCAACUUUACCCAAAUUAUUGUUUACUCCUGAUUCUCCUUCCUCCAGAUCCGCAUGCUACUGGAGAGGGCGAAUGCUCUUGCUGGAAAAUGGGAUGGAAUUCCUAUUGUGCUUGCUGGUGAUUUUAACAGCACACCUGAAGUAUGUUUUAGUUGCUUCCUUGCAUAUAUGUGCCUUAAGAUUCUCACAUAAAGAUAAUUACUUGUAACAAGUGUUUAGUUUCUGGAACUGAGAUGACAUGUUACCGCUCAUGAGUGAUAGUGCUUUAGAUUGAACGCGGGUGUUGGAUGGUACAAUUAGGGUAUUAAGUUGUAAAUAGGUUUUUUUUUUAUUGAAAUGUGGUAUCUUGUGAUUUAGAGCUAACAUUUUUCUUUCAUUGGUUCUAACUUUUCUUUUUUCUCUUCCUUGGACCAGAGUGCCAUCUAUAAGUUCUUGUCGACAAUGAAGGUGAAAUAUUGCAUUAGAUAUUUCUUGCAUAUCCCCAAAGUUAUAGUCUGGUUAUUAUAGAACUGAUUUACAAUGCAUACAAUGUGCUCUUUUUGGUGUGACCAGCUGAACGUUUCUUUGCAUGAUAGAAGGCAGUUGUCUGGACUGGAUAGCUCUGAAUUUGGUUUGUAUUGUAGGUUAGAAUUCUUUCUUGUCAGAUUUUAGUUGACCUAGCACAUUUGUCCAUUUUAAGAUUUUUAUCUACCUUCCUUGUAGUUUACUGAACUUUGAAUGGAGUGACGAAGAAGUGAGAAAUGCGACAGGGUCCUCAAAUGUCAUGGUCGCUAGACAUCCGUUGAAGCUUUCUAGCUCUUAUGCUAUGUUGAAGGUAGUAUUUAUUUUCUAGUAGAAACUGAAGCACUCUCUUCGACUAUUCGACAUAUAGUUGAAAUGAAGAGCCGGUUUAUUUUAGGGAAAUUCAAGCAAUAGGGGUCAUCAUGGUGAACCUCUAGCAACGUCAUAUCACAAGAAGUUUCUGGGGACUGUUGAUUAUUUGUGGUACGCUUCUAAACGUGUCUGCAUCUAUUAUACACAUAUACAAUAUGGCUGAGUCUCGUUGUUGAAGGUAUACUCCUGGACUUGAAUGCUCCAGAGUUUUGGACACACUACCUGUGGAUGCUUUGAAGAGGACAAGGGGUCUUCCAACCAGGGUACUUCCUAUUUUAAUGCAUCAUACUAUUUAGACAAAUCUGUAUGUGAAAAAGGACUAUAUGUUUAAACUUUGGGCUUGGGCAAUGUCAUGAUUCGAGUUUUGGCCGUAAAUUUCCUGUUAUACAUAAUGCUCAUAUUUGACCGCUAACAACGAUGUCAUGCUGAAAAAUCAUCAGGAAAUGGGCAGUGAUCAUCUGCCAAUUGUUGCUGAAUUCAUCUUCUCGGAACAGACCAGAUAUUCAUCCGAGCAAGGAGAUGAAUCCGACCAAGAUGAAUCUGAGCCAGACGAUGAGCCUACACGAGAAGCAACCACAGCAAAACACAUAUAUUUCUCCUCAGACAGUGACAGUUCGGCUGAUGCAAGUUAAUUAUUCAGUUGGUAGGAAAAGUUUAGGAUAUAUGACUUGGAGGACAGGGGCGCUGUACGAACUUCAUGGCGGUGACCAUACCAUUCAUGAUUCAGAUGCAGAAAUUAUCUUGGCCAUUGUAAGGCUCACGCCAUAUCCUUGAAUGAAUGUGCAAGGUGUGUUGCCAGAACCUGUAGUGUUGUAAUUCCUGUAGUGGAUUCCAGUCCUGCUGCUUCAGGAUGCUGAUACGGAUCAGAAUCAGGUGUAGGAAGCUGAUGUCUCCAGACUCAAGUGCCAAGAUUGUGGCCGAACGAGUGUUCUCCACGAGCUAUACAAACAAGUAGGUUAAGGACAAGGAAAGAAAAACAAUUAGUAUUGGCAGUUUAGCAUUUACUAGUACUCAAAGUGUAUUUAUUCUCCACUUUUGCGCAGAAUAUUGACACGCUAUCGUAAUGAUUUAACGUGCAGUAUGUACAUGCCGACUGUAGUGUACUCGUUCGGUCUAUGCCUAUAUACUCGCUCGUUUGACACUAACUGGCAAGCGUUCACUGGGACGGGAUUGGCAAGCGAACAUUUCUAAUGACGUUUUUAGGUGAUAGCAGUUGGUAGUUUCUGCCUGUUUUCGCCUCAAAAAUUCUUUCUAUUUGGAAACUGUCAUGUCUCUCUGAAAAAUUGUCAUGCGUCACUGAAUAAACUACUUGUAAAAACGUUGGCAAACGCUACCCCUCAUUGUGAACGUUCGCUGGCUAUUGGGGUCCUUGACACUAUUGGUUGAGGAUCCCGCUUUUAGAUUGGUGUAGGAGCAGGAGACUAACCAAACUUGCAUAUAUCCUGUAAUAAGUUAGGAAUUACAAAGUUCACGUGAAGUACAAAGCAUCUCAAACAUAAAAAUUACAUUGAGAUUAUGAGACCACUGAACAAAGCAUCUCCAACAUAAAAAUUAUAUUGAGAUUAUGAGACCAAUGUAUGACGGCUAGCUAUAUACUCGCUCGUUUGACACUAUUGUUUGAAGAUCCUGCUUUUAGACUGCUCGCAGUAGGAUACUAACCAAACAUUCCAUAUAUUCUGCAAUAAAUGAGGAAUUGCCGUCAUCGAGGAGGUCAGGCAGGCUUUAGUAAGGGGGCGGUGCGUCGGCGGCUUGUCCUGAUGGUGGUAGUGGUCGUUUGAUGAUCCAUUGACCUGUAGAUGCAAAAAAUUUUAUGUGUGUUAUAUAUGUUUUAUUUUGUACUCCCUCUGUAAACUAAUAUAAAAGCAUUUAGAUCACUAUUUUAGUUAUCUAAACACUCUUAUAUUAGUUUACAGAGGUAAUACUUAUGGACUUUUGUAUUAGAUCGAGUCCUUUGUGUAAAAAAAGAAACUAGAAAUUGCAGCAAUAGCAAACACACAGAUGCAGAGGCUGAGUACUAGCACUAGCAAAAUGCAGAUCGACCUUGCAUUCCCCAACCGUCAAAUCCGCAGUCCGCACUCAUCAGGCACCAACCAAAGAAAUGCCUGGUACGGGAGGGCAGGGAGGCCAUCUAUGGAUUUGAAGAUAGGGAGGCGGCCAAUCAGAGCCAAGCGGCCGGCCACGUCACCGCUCCGAGGGACCAAGACGCGGGCGAGCGCGGCCGCACAAGAGCCCCUCCUACACAACAAGCGUCCCAGCUUUUGUUGUUGUUGGGCGAGACACAGAGCGAGAGGCCGAGGAAGCGAUAGCUCUAGCGAUAAGGCACUGACGGAUCAAUGGCUGCCACGGCGUACUCCGUGGCCCUCCUCGGCGGGGCGCGCCUCCCCGCCGCCACCAGCAACGCCGCCCCACGCUCCUCCGCCCUCCUCCCGCGGCGCAACCUCCACCCGCUCCGCCUCCAAGGUGCACAUGCAUCCUAUGCUAUCUACGUACUAUCAGCCGGGUUUUUCCGGAGGAUUCUUUUGGCUCUGACGGCUUGGCCGAGCUUGCAGAUGCGCCGAGGCCGUCCCUGCUCCGCGUGAAGGCGGCCUCCGACGACACGUCGGCGAGCGGCGAUGAGAUCAUCGAGGACCUCAAGGGGAAG